GAUGAACGCUGGCGGCGUGCCUAAUACAUGCAAGUCGAGCGAACAGAUGAGGAGCUUGCUCCUCUGACGUUAGCGGCGGACGGGUGAGUAACACGUGGAUAACCUACCUCUAAGACUGGGAUAACUUCGGGAAACCGUAGCUAAUACCGGAUAAUAUAUUGAACUGCAUGGUUCAAUAGUGAAAGACGGUUUUGCUGUCACUUAUAGAUGGCUCCGCGCCGCAUUAGCUAGUUGGUAAGGUAACGGCUUACCAAGGCAACGAUGCGCAGCCGACCUGAGAGGGUGAUCGGCCACACGGGAACUGAGACACGGUCCAGACUCCUACGGGAGGCAGCAGUAGGGAAUCGUACGCAAUGGGCGAAAGCCUGACGGAGCAACGCCGCGUGAGUGAUGAAGGUCUUCGGAUCGUAAAAAGCUGUUAUUAGGGAAGAACAAAUGUGUAAGUAACUAUGCACGUCUUGACGGUACCUAAUCAGAAAGCCACGGCUAACUACGUG
rnacentral:rRNA from 1 species